rnacentral:rRNA from 1 species
UCCGUAGGCGGUGUGGCAAGUCGGUAGUGAAAUCUCUCGGCUUAACUGAGAGGCUGCUGCCGAAACUGCCAUGCUCGAGUGCGAGAGAGGCGAGUGGAAUUACGGGUGUAGCGGUGAAAUGCGUAGAUAUCCGUAGGAACAUCCGAGGCGAAAGCGGCUCGCUGGAUCGCAACUGACGCUGAGGGACGAAAGCUAGGGGAGCAAACAGGAUUAGAUACCCUGGUAGUCCUAGCCCUAAACCAUCAGGACUUGGGGUUUGCCCCGUACGGGGCAAGUCCCGGAGCUAACGCGUUAAGUCCUGCGCCUGGGGAGUACGGUCGCAAGGCUGAA